rnacentral:rRNA from 1 species
GCGCGAAAACUCCGCAAUGCGCGUAAGCGUGACGGGGCUAUCCCGAGUGCUGUCCGCUGAGGAUAGCUUUUCUUCGGUUUAAGGAGCCGGAGGAAUAAGGGGAGGGCAAGCCUGGUGUCAGCCGCCGCGGUAAUACCAGCUCCCCGAGUGGUGGGGGUAAUUAUUGGGCCUAAAGCGUCCGUAGCUGGCUUGAUAAGUCUUCUGUUAAAUCCGACGAUCCAAUCGUCGGGCUGCAGGAGAUACUGUCGAGCUAGGGGGCGGAAGAAGCCGACGGUACUCCUGAGGUAGGGGUGAAAUCCUAUAAUCCCAGGAGGACCACCAGUGGCGAAGGCGGUCGGCUAGAACGCGCUCGACGGUGAGGGACGAAAGCUGGGGGAGCGAUCCGGAUUAGAUACCCGGGUAGUCCCAGCUGUAAACUAUGCAGGCUAGGUGUUGGCGUGACUACGAGUCUCGUCAGUGCCGCAGGGAAGCUGUUAAGCCUGCCGCCUGGGGGAGUACGGUCGCAAGACUGAAACUUAAAGGAAUUGGGCGGGGG